GCUUGGGAAACUGCCCAGUCGUGGGGGACAACCAUUGGAAACGAUGGCUAAUACCGCAUACGCCCUACGGGGAAAGAAGGGACCGUUCGGGCCUUUCGCGAUUGGAUGUGCCCAAGUGGGAUUAGCUAGUUGGUGGGGUAAUGGCCUACCAAGCCUACGAUCCAUAGCUGGUUUGAGAGGAUGAUCAGCAACACUGGGACUGAGACACGGCCCAGACUCCUACGGGAGGCAGCAGUGGGGAAUCUUAGACAAUGGGCGCAAGCCUGAUCUAGCCAUGCCGCGUGAGUGACGAAGGCCCUA
rnacentral:rRNA from 1 species